rnacentral:rRNA from 1 species
GAUGGAUGGGCCCGCGGUGCAUUAGUUAGUUGGUGGGGUAAUGGCCUACCAAGACCAUGAUGCAUAGCCGACCUGAGAGCGUGAUCGGCCACACUGGGACUGAGACACGGCCCAGACUCCUACGGGAGGCAGCAGUAGGGAAUCUUCGGCAAUGGACGAAAGUCUGACCGAGCAACGCCGCGUGAGUGAAGAAGGUUUUCGGAUCGUAAAACUCUGUUGUUAGAGAAGAAUAAGUGAUAGAGUAACUGUUAUCAC